AUGAACGCUGGCGGCGUGCCUAAUACAUGCAAGUCGAGCGAACAGACGAGGAGCUUGCUCCUCUGACGUUAGCGGCGGACGGGUGAGUAACACGUGGAUAACCUACCUAUAAGACUGGGAUAACUUCGGGAAACCGGAGCUAAUACCGGAUAAUAUAUUAAACCGCAGGGUUCAAUAGUGAAAGAGGGUUUUGCUGUCACUUAUAGAUGGAUCCGCGCCGCAUUAGCUAGUUGGUAAGGUAACGGCUUACCAAGGCAACGAUGCGUAGCCGACCUGAGAGGGUGAUCGGCCACACUGGAACUGAGACACGGUCCAGACUCCUACGGGAGGCAGCAGUAGGGAAUCUUCCGCAAUGGGCGAAAGCCUGACGGAGCAACGCCGCGUGAGUGAUGAAGGUCUUCGGAUCGUAAAACUCUGUUAUUAGGGAAGAACAAAUGUGUAAGUAACUAUGCACGUCUUGACGGUACCUAAUCAGAAAGCCACGGCUAACUACGUG
rnacentral:rRNA from 1 species